rnacentral:rRNA from 1 species
UACGUAGGGUGCAAGCGUUGUCCGGAAUUAUUGGGCGUAAAGAGCUCGUAGGCGGCUUGCCACGUCUGCCGUGAAAACCAGCAGCUUAACUGUUGGCCUGCGGUUGAUACGGGUUGGCUGGAGUUCGGUAGGGGAGACUGGAAUUCCUGGUGUAGCGGUGAAAUGCGCAGAUAUCAGGAGGAACACCGGUGGCGAAGGCGGGUCUCUGGGCCGAUACUGACGCUGAGGAGCGAAAGCGUGGGGAGCGAACAGG